GGCUACCAUGCAGUCGAGGGGCAGCAUUUCAGUUUGCUUGCAAACUGGAGAUGGCGACCGGCGCACGGGUGAGUAACACGCUAUCCAACCUGCCGAUAACUCGGGGAUAGCCUUUCGAAAGAAAGAUUAAUACCCGAUGGNAUAAUCAGACCGCAUGGUCUNAUUAUUAAAGAAUUUCGGUUAUCGAUGGGGAUGCGUUCCAUUAGGCAGUUGGUGAGGUAACGGCUCACCAAACCUUCGAUGGAUAGGGGUUCUGAGAGGAAGGUCCCCCACAUUGGAACUGAGACACGGUCCAAACUCAUACGGGAGGCAGCAGUGAGGAAUAUUGGUCAAUGGGCGCAGGCCUGAACCAGCCAAGUAGCGUGAAGGAUGACUGCCCUAUGGGUUGUAAACUUCUUUUAUAUGGGAAUAAAGUUUUCCACGUGUGGAAUUUUGUAUGUACCAUAUGAAUAAGGAUCGGCUAACUCCGUGCCAGCAGCCGCGGUAAUACGGAGGAUCCGAGCGUUAUCCGGAUUUAUUGGGUUUAAAGGGAGCGUAGGUGGACAGUUAAGUCAGUUGUGAAAGUUUGCGGCUCAACCGUAAAAUUGCAGUUGAUACUGGCUGUCUUGAGUACAGUAGAGGUGGGCGGAAUUCGUGGUGUAGCGGUGAAAUGCUUAGAUAUCACGAAGAACUCCGAUUGCGAAGGCAGCUCACUGGACUGCAACUGACACUGAUGCUCGAAAGUGUGGGUAUCAAACAGGAUUAGAUACCCUGGUAGUCCACACAGUAAACGAUGAAUACUCGCUGUUUGCGAUAUACAGUAAGCGGCCAAGCGAAAGCAUUAAGUAUUCCACCUGGGGAGUACGCCGGCAACGGUGAAACUCAAAGGAAUUGACGGGGGCCCGCACAAGCGGAGGAACAUGUGGUUUAAUUCGAUGAUACGCGAGGAACCUUACCCGGGCUUAAAUUGCAUUUGAAUAAUCUGGAAACAGNUUAGCCGCAAGGCAAAUGUGAAGGUGCUGCAUGGUUGUCGUCAGCUCGUGCCGUGAGGUGUCGGCUUAAGUGCCAUAACGAGCGCAACCCUUAUCUUUAGUUACUAACAGGUCAUGCUGAGGACUCUAGAGAGACUGCCGUCGUAAGAUGUGAGGAAGGUGGGGAUGACGUCAAAUCAGCACGGCCCUUACGUCCGGGGCUACACACGUGUUACAAUGGGGGGUACAGAAGGCAGCUACCUGGUGACAGGAUGCUAAUCCCAAAAGCCUCUCUCAGUUCGGAUCGAAGUCUGCAACCCGACUUCGUGAAGCUGGAUUCGCUAGUAAUCGCGCAUCAGCCAUGGCGCGGUGAAUACGUUCCCGGGCCUUGUUCNNANNGCCCGUCAAGCCAUGAAAGCCGGGGGUACCUGAAGUACGAACCGCAAGAGCUC
rnacentral:rRNA from 1 species